GAAACUAGAUAGUGAAUCUGAUCCCGGACUAGGCGGGGUCCGGCUCCAGGAAACAGAAACUUUUGAAGGGAAGAGUGGGAACCCUCUACACCCCAAACCUCUCCCUGCCCCCACGGCGGACAUAGGGGCCGCGGAGAGACCUUUGCGGAGCUCAGGCUUGUUUAGAGUUGAAUAUGCAGCUGGGCCUCUGGACCUUGGUCUCCCUGAGACCCCCUGCCACUAGAUUAACCUUUAAAAAAAAUAAUAAAGCGGCAGGAGAUUGUUCAGUGUUAUUUUUGUUGUAAGCGUGGCGGUGAUCCUCUUUCCAGUUUUGUGCAUCCUGUGCAGAAACUGAUUGCAGUCUUGAUUCAGUAAACAACAUUGCAACGAUGUGUGUGCAUCUCUGCCAUUAUUUCCAUUGGACUGUUGGAUUGUGUGGAUUCUUGGGAAAAUCAAUAGUGCAUUACAUUUUGAAUUUCUCCUCAUGAAUAUUAAAAAGCAACUAGAGAAAAAGGGAAAUGAAAAGUGAAAGAUGGCAACUGAUCUAAAAUCUGCUUGGGAAACUGAAACUUAAGUAAUAGCGCAGGACUCCAGCCAAGCCCCAUGGACAGGAGACCAUCAAGGACCUGCAGACCACCUGGCUUCCCCAGGGGAGAGGUAAUCUGCUCAUCCUAGAUCCAGUUGGACCAAGAAGGCCGGACACAGGAGCUCAGCAGUGCAGGUAGUGAGACCAGAAGCCUACAGAGGAAGGCCUUGCUUU